UUUAAACCUUAAACUAGCAGCGCACGUCACUUUCUGAGUGAAGUGCGCGACGUGCGCGUGCCCGUCAUUUUGUAACGGUCAACUUCCAGCAGACGGACACGGAGGAAAGGGCCUGACAACCACCAGUUGAGUCCAUGAUUCAGGGAAGAGACAGUCUGGGCAGCAGCAACAAGACAACUAUUACAAGUAGAGAUGGGUUUCAAGAACUGGUACUAAUUUGGUUCCUGACUUGUUCAGUACUGAAAACAUUUACAUAAGACACAACCACAUAUCCUUCAAAUCAUCUCUGCGUGGAUGGCAGCAAGGAUCCAGGAUCAAGAGAUCAUUCUUCAUGGAGACUGUUCCACAGGAAGCAGUUUCUCCUGGGUGAAAAACUAAACCUGGUUGUUUCAGCAUCACUCAGGCAAGCCUAAAUACUUUUAAAUUGAUUUCAGUUGGUUGUGUUUCAGGUCAUCCUGACCAUUCUGCUGUCCUGGAUGUAAGUCCGUGCUGGAACUACAUUUCUCGUGGUUGAAAGAUUUGUGCAGCGGUAUCCAGACAUAUAACGCCCCAUCACACGGGGCGUCAACGCCUCUCGUUUACUUUUAAAUGAAGUGACGUCAAGGAUGGUGAAAUUAAUUCUAGAAAUUAAUUCUAAAUAGAAGUUGAAGACUUCUCAAGCGCCAAUGCAGCCGUCCUCCAGUCAGAACAUCUUAUGCAAAUA